UCGCCUCUCUCCCACCCCAAUGGGUGUUUCUGCAUGUCUGUCCCUCACUGCCCUCUCCAAAGCAAGGGGCAGGUAUUCUUCUCCAAAACAGGAUAUCGUUGAAGCCCUCUGCUUCUCUUACAGCUUCUUCCCCAGCAAAUGUUGGCUUAAAUCUUUUUAGAGAAAACUGAAGGUGUCCCGGAUUUCUUCCCAUGCUUGAGGAUAGAGGCUCUCCUCUGUGGCUUUUACUCUAGUCUGAAGCAAAACCCAAAUUCCUGUUUGCAUUGACGCUAUUUUGUCUUGCAGGCAAUCCCAGUGGCCUUACUCUUCAAGAGGAGGAGAGCACCAUGAGCUCUUCUGCAUGUACAGCUAAAGGUUAGGCUUCAAUCUAUAUAACUCAUUUGGAAACUGCCACUCUGGAUCAGAAGCCUAUCAGGAAGAGCUUUUGUAUGGAAACAGAUGUCUUUCACCACUGUUAUUGGCCACUUGUUAAUAGACCCUGUGUGUAUCAGUUCAGCAAAGGAAUGCAUCCUUUUUGUUCUCUGGUAACCACACCAUGACUGGGCAAGAAAUGGCAAUGCUGUGACUAGACAGGAGAUGCGCAUGUGCUGACUGGCCAGUUAUCUUCUGCUAAAUGCAAGGUUUUGCAUUUUCACGGACUUCAGCUGCAAACAUCUGAAAUGUUUAAAAGAAGGCUGUUAUUAAACAUGUUCCUGCUCGUGGGCUUGAUGCAUGUUUUGCUGGCCGCCGUCUGCGAAGGUGUGUAAAUGCUUUACUGGAUCAGGGCCAGCACCUUACAAGCCUGACCUCGGAGAGUUGGGAUCCCCUGCCCUGCCUCCUGGUGUGACGAUGACCUUGCUUACAUCAGAGUCGCGUGGUUGCAUGAAGGAGCAGUUCUUCAGAAACAGAUGGCAUUCAGUGAGAAGAAAUUCCUAGCUCAUGAAUGACCAAAGGAAGUAAGUUCCUGUUUGGCUCAGGAAAGCAAGGUUCUGCCAUUCACCGUCUCAAAGGCUGAGUGUUUAAAACUAGACCCCGGUGAUCUACCGUACUAGAUCUGACCUUCAGUUAAAGCAGUGUAACUUGGUAUGAAGACAUGGCCUUAAACUUCCUACGGCCCUGUAUCUCCAUGCCAACGACAGACAUGAUCCAAGUCUGUUGCAAUCUGAGGGAAACUCCUGCUGGCUUCAGUGAUUCAAGCCCAGUGGCUUUUCUGGGUCCUUCCAUUUAUACAAUGUUAAUUUCUUAGCUCACACAAACUUAUUUGUCGAAGAAGACACAGCGUAUAUUCUUUCUUACAGCGGAGGGAGAUUGCUGGGGUGAAUACAUUUGGAUAAUCUGAUUGUUCUUUCUUUGGUUUGAUCCAUCUUAAAACAUUACAUUUGAGAUUAUUACUCUUCUCUAUAGUGCCCGUAGCACUUGUGAUGCUCUAACUUCUCAUACUGCAGAAGUAGGACAGCUUUCUUGAAAUGUAAGGGCACUCCAGAAAGCUGAUGAAUUAGUUGAUGAGUCACUCAGGAAACAAGCAUUUAGGGCCACACAUGAGAUGUCAAUAGAAGUUCGAAAACACUAAUAUGAAAUGGAUAGGGACUGAUUCUUUGUGAGUACACAUGACAGUCAUUAUA